AACAGGGGGUCCUUGGAACCCUCCAAAAGAUGUCGCCACUCCUUGAGGGCAAGAAUAAUGGCCAACAGUUCUCUAUUGCCAAUAUCGUAGUUGCGCUCAGCAGGAGACAUCUUUCUGGAGAAGUAGCCACAAGGAUGCAAUGGUGUUCCCUGGCUUUCUCUCUGAGAGAGAACAGCCCCUACCCCUGUCUCGGAUGCAUCAACCUCCAAUAUAAAAGGUUU